rnacentral:lncRNA from 1 species
UUCUGAGGAGAUUAGUGUAAGUCCAUUGAGUGGCAUCUGAUAUCCAGUUCUGUUUUAGGAGAUUGGUAUAAGACCAGUGAUUGGCAUCCGGUAUCCGCUUUUUGGAUUUCAUCUUUGUUUGUUUGUUAUUAUCCAUUGCUCAUUCCAAAGGACACACUUGAAUCAUCUUCUAUAUGAUUUCAAGAAGUGAACCUUCUAAGAAGUUUUACAAUCCAUCUUCAUCCAUUCAUCCUCAU